GGUCGUGUUUGCAGAGUGAAAUUGGCAACUUGGCAAGAUGUUGGCAUAGCUGAAAGUUUUGAGUUUAGCUAUUCAACUUCUUGUCUAUUUUUCCAAUUUAUUGACAACGAAGAGGCGU
rnacentral:precursor_RNA from 11 species